rnacentral:lncRNA from 1 species
ACUUACAGCCAUCUUCAAACAACAACAACAACAACAACUACCCAGUAUAUUCCCACAAACUUACAACCAUCUUCAAACUAUUCUAAAUAUUCAAGAGAAAGUUCCAACUAUAGAACUGGCAUAAGCACUAACCGGGAGACCACCAUCUGCAUCUAUAGUUGUAAGAAUGUUAAUGCUGUCCAUGUCCCAAAAUUUUAUCUGGCUAUCUUCACCCACAGCCAAGAAAUGAUUCUGUGUAGUGUCAAACUGCACAACACCAGCUGACUUUUUUCUAAACCCAGUAUAAGUCCUCUUUAUGGCUCCUUCACUUUCAUUCCAUUCCACAAGAAAAGAAUCACCUUCUUUACCAGUUCUUUUUUCUAAACCCAGUGUAGGUCCUCUUUAUGGCUCCUUCACUUUCAUUCCAUUCCACAAGAAAAGAAUCACCUUCUUUACCAGUUCCACACGAGAACAAUCUA